rnacentral:tRNA from 1 species
CUGCGUCCGUGCCGUGGACGCGGCCGGUGCGGCGGUCCUCGCCGUGGCCGGCGCCAUGGCUGUGGCGGCGUUCGAAGCGCUGGUGCAGAC